UACGUAGGGGGCAAGCGUUGUUCGGAAUUACUGGGCGUAAAGGGCGCGUAGGCGGCACAGCAAGUCGGGAGUGAAAGCCCGGGGCUCAACCCCGGAAUGGCUUUCGAAACUGCUGAGCUAGAGUACAGAAGGGGCAACCGGAAUUCCCAGUGUAGCGGUGAAAUGCGUAGAUAUUGGGAAGAACACCUGAGGCGGAGGCGGGUUGCUGGGCUGAUACUGACGCUGAGGCGCGAAGGCGUGGGGAGCGAACGGG
rnacentral:rRNA from 1 species